GGCCUACGGGGGGCAGCAGUGGGGAAUAUUGGACAAUGGGCGAAAGCCUGAUCCAGCCAUGCCGCGUGAGUGAAGAAGGCCUUAGGGUUGUAAAGCUCUUUCAGCGGGGAAGAUAAUGACGGUACCCGCAGAAGAAGCCCCGGCUAACUCCGUGCCAGCAGCCGCGGUAAUACGGAGGGGGCUAGCGUUGUUCGGAAUUACUGGGCGUAAAGCGCACGUAGGCGGACUGUUUAGUCAGGGGUGAAAUCCCGGGGCUCGACCGCGGAAUUGCCUCUGAUACUGGCAGUCUCGAGUGCGGAAGAGGUGAGUGGAAUUCCGGGUGUAGAGGUGAAAUUCGUAGAUAUUCGGAGGAACACCAGUGGCGAAGGCGGCUCACUGGUCCGGUACUGACGCUGAGGUGCGAAAGCGUGGGGAGCAAACAGGAUUAGAUACCCCAGUAGUCGUG
rnacentral:rRNA from 2 species